UACGGGGGGAACGAGCGUUGUUCGGAUUUACUGGGCGUAAAGGGCACGCAGGUGGGAAAGCAAGUCGAGUGUGAAAUCCCGAGGCUUAACUUCGGGCCUGCACCUGAUACUGCUUUUCUUGAGUACGAGAGAGGAUGGCGGAAUUCUUGGUGUAGCGGUGAAAUGCGUAGAUAUCAAGAAGAACACCGGUGGCGAAGGCGGCCAUCUGGCUCGAUACUGACGCUCAUGUGCGAAGGCCGGGGGAG
rnacentral:rRNA from 1 species